rnacentral:rRNA from 1 species
AUUGAACGCUGGCGGCAAGCCUAACACAUGCAAGUCGAACGAGUGGCGGACGGGUGAGUAAUGUCUGGGAAACUGCCUGAUGGAGGGGGAUAACUACUGGAAACGGUAGCUAAUACCGCCUACCAUCGGAUGUGCCCAGAUGGGAUUAGCUAGUAGGUGGGGUAAAGGCUCACCUAGGCGACGAUCCCUAGCUGGUCUGAGAGGAUGACCAGCCACACGGGAAGUGAGACACGGUCCAGGCUCCUACGUGAGGCAGCAGUGGGGAAUAUUGCGCAGUAGGCGCGAUCCUGAUGCAGCCAUGCGGCGUGUAUGACGAAGGCCUUCGGGUUGUAAAGGACUUUCAGCGGGGAGGCGUUACCCGCAGAAGAAGCACCGGCUAACUCCGUGCCAGCAGCCGCGGUAAUUC